rnacentral:misc_RNA from 1 species
GAUGAAGAACGCAGCGAAAUGCGAUACGUAAUGUGAAUUGCAGAAUUCAGUGAAUCAUCGAAUCUUUGAACGCAUAUUGCGCUCUCUGGUAUUCCGGAGAGCAUGCUUGUUUGAGUAUCAGUAAACACCUCAACUCCCUUUUCUUUUUUGAAAUUGGAGCUGGACUUGAGUGAUCCCAACGCUUUCUUCCAAUAAAGUGGCGGGUUGCUUGAAAUGCAGGUGCAGCUGAACUUUUCUCUGAGCUAUAAGCAUAUCUAUUUAGUCUGCCUAAAAAACAGAUUAUUACCUUUGCUGCAGCUAACAUAAAGGAGACUAGUUCUUGUGCUGACUGAUGCAGGAUUCACAGAGACAGCUUCGGCUGACUUUGUAAACUCGAUCUCAAAUCAAGUAAGACUACCCGCUGAACUUAAGCAUAUCAAUAAGCGGAGGA